rnacentral:rRNA from 1 species
UAGUCUCGCACAGAUGCAUAUCAAUAAGCGGAGGAAAAGAAACUAACAAGGAUUCCCCUAGUAACGGCGAGUGAAGCGGGAAGAGCUCAAAUUUGAAAUCUUAAAGGGUUUCCCUUUACGAAUUGUAGUUUAAAGAAGUGUUUUCUGUUGAGGUCUUGGUAAAAGUUCUUUGGAAUAGGACAUCAUAGAGGGUGAGAAUCCCGUAUUUGACCUUUACUUUCAACUUUGUGAUACACUUUCAAAGAGUCGGAUUGUUUGGGAAUGCAGUCCAAAAUGGGUGGUAAAUUUCAUCUAAAGCUAAAUAUUGGCGAGAGACCGAUAGCGAACAAGUACCGUGAGGGAAAGAUGAAAAGAACUUUGAAAAGAGAGUUAAACAGUACGUGAAAUUGUCAGAAGGGAAGCGUUUGACACCAGUGUUGUUUUUCUGAAAAUCAAUUAAAGAACUGUUUAUGCUAAGUUGUUUAGACUUUAUCAGCUAACUGUUUAGUUUUGAGCUUUUCUUUAAUGCACUUUUCAGUUAACAAGUCAACAUCAAUUUCUUUUGCUGUAAAAAAGCUUGAGGAAGGUGGCUUGAGAUUCGUCUUAAGUGUUUAUAGCCUCUUGCCUAUGCAGUCGGAGAGAUUGAGGUCUGCAGCGUAGAUCCUUCGGGGCUAAAUGCAUUUGUGCUAAGUUAUAGCAUUUUAUAGACAACUUGUUGACUAUGAUUUGUCUUGUAGCUUACUCGCUUAUGUUAUUUUACCUACGCUUAGGAUGUUGAUCUGUAGUGCGUGCGC